rnacentral:tRNA from 3 species
GCGGGUGUAGUUCAAUGGUAGAACCCCAGCCUUCCAAGCUGGUCGUGAGGGUUCGAUUCCCUUCACCCGCUCCA